CGGAGCGGCGCCGUGGGCCGCGGCCUAGGCCGGCGGUUCGGGGGUGGGCGCCGGGGGCUCGAUUUGUGGGCGCGGCCGGGUGGGGGCCCCCGUCCCCGGGGUCCCGGGAGGAUGGCCCCGGGCGGCUGGCCGGUCACCUACCUGCUGCUGUGCGGCCAGGCGGCGCUGCUGCUGGGGAACCUGCUGCUGCUGCACUGCGUGCCCCGGAGCCUUUCGCACAACGCCACGGCCCGGCCGGACCCGCCGCCCCCCGGGGACACCGCCGGGACCCUCGUCCCCCUCCACGCCCUGGACCCCGCCGACCGGGACCGGCCCCGGGACCGGCCCCAGGACCGGCCCCAGGACCGGCCCCAGGACCGGCCCCAGCCCUGGGAGUACACCGACCCGCGCUCGCCCCUCGUCCUCUGCGCCUUCCUACCUGAUGAAUUUAUAGAAUGUGAAGAUCCUGUGGAUCAUGUUGGAAAUUCAACUGCCUCCCAAGAGCUGGGUUAUGGGUGCCUCAAGUUGGGUGGCCAAGCCUACAACGAUGUGGAACAUACGUCUGUGCAGUGCAAGGCACUGGAUGGAAUCGAGUGUGCCAAUCCUAGGACCUUCCUACGAGAGAAUAAACCCUGUAUAAAGUACACGGGGCACUACUUCAUAACAACUUUACUGUACUCCUUCUUUCUGGGAUGCUUUGGAGUUGACCGCUUCUGCCUGGGACACACGGGCACAGCAGUAGGGAAACUGCUGACCCUCGGAGGACUUGGGAUCUGGUGGUUCGUUGAUCUUAUUCUGCUCAUCACAGGAGGGCUGAUGCCUAGCGACGGCAGUAAUUGGUGUACCAUUUACUAAAGAGAACAGGACCCAGGCGAGAGCUGGGAGAACGGAGAGGAGGUGAAACCAAAACAAGGACCGUAUAUUUUCCUGACUCCACAGCGAAGACAAAAUUCUACUGAGCAGCACAGUCUGCAGCUGCCUUUAAAGGGGCUGAGCACCUUUCAAGCAACAGCCCUACAACUCACUCAGAUUGGGAUGUAAAUAACCCAGAACUCUGAUUUCAGUCUGUAUGGUGCUCUUGUAUGCCUAACCUCACGUGCAGCCUCCAGGGCUGCUGGGCCACACAACAGAUCUCCGCUUCCUGGCCAGAUCUCUCCUGCUGGGUCUGAGGAAGCACCACAGUGGGGUGCCUCUUGCUGGAUCAGCUAAGAACUUCUGACUUUCUCAUUUUAGUAACCAGUCUGGCAUUUCCUCUAGAGAUCAUGGAGAAAAAAUUCAAGAGGAAUGAAUAAGACAUGGCAUUUCGGCUCUGACUGUUCUACCACCUCCCUCGCCAGUUAAGAAUGAGACCCUACCCAGAACAUAGUAACAAAACAUGAUAAACAUUUUUGGAUUAAAGCAAGGUCUUUAUAGACUUCAAGGAAAGUGUCUUGGGGUGUUUGUUACCUACCACAGAUUUUCCAUUUAGGUUAAAUGCAGACUGAAUCUAGUUAGGAGGUAAAUAAUUACCCAUUAAAAACUAAAUUGAAAGGAAA